rnacentral:rRNA from 1 species
GAUGAACGCUGGCGGCGUGCCUAAUACAUGCAAGUCGAGCGAAGCGGGGGCGGGUGAGUAACACGUGGAUAACCUCCUAUAAGACUGGGAUAACUUCGGGAAACCGUAGCUAAACCGGCUACUUAGCGAUGGUUCCUCGCUGCAUUAGCUAGUUGGUAGGGUAACGGCUUACCAAGGCCACGCUGCAUAGCCGACCUGAGAGGGUGAUCGGCCACACUGGAACUGAGACACGGUCCAGACUCCUACGGGAGGCAGCAGUAGGGAAUCUUCCGCAAUGGGCGAAAGCCUGACGGAGCAACGCCGCGUGAGUGAUGAAGGUCUUCGGAUCGUAAAACUCUGUUAUUAGGGAAGCGGUACCUAACCAGAAAGCCACGGCUAACUACGUGCCAGCAGCCGCGGUAAUAC